ACUAUACAAAGCUUUGCGAAGCACAAUUUUGCAACUCAUUUGGGUAAACCACUACCUGACAGUUACUUGUCAGCAACACCUGUCAAGAACUAAGACCAAGUUUCCUAUACUGGACUAUCAUGCUUAAGUCCAUGAGGGCACGACUGACGAAUCACAUCAGGAUACGAAGAUUCUAGUUUGCAGACCUGAGUCGGUCCGUUACUUUACAGUGCGCUCAUCCCACACAAAGCACUGGCUUUCAGAAUGUCCCUAUCUCGCUAUAACUACCAUGGCUCCAAGCAAGAAUCGGACGCAAGCGCAUAGACGCAAGUAAGUCUUCAUUAGGUCCUCACUCAUUGGAACCAUGAGGUCAAACCCUGCAGACGGAGAGACACUAGUGCUUGUCCCCGUCAUGUAAGAUGGGGCAUUCCGUUACACUAUCAAGUGCUUGAAGAGGUUGAUGGUUGGAGAUGUGGGGUGGUAAACAUCAUAGUCAAAGGCCUGAUUAUUAGAUGGCAGCCAUAGUUUGGGUAAUAGUGAAGGGUCUAUGGUGUGAGACAGCAAACGGGAAGAGGUCGCUGGACAGCUGUUGUCUUGGAAACAAUUAUGGGGAUG